rnacentral:rRNA from 1 species
UGGGGAAUCUUGGACAAUGGGGGCAACCCUGAUCCAGCCAUGCCGCGUGAGUGAUGAAGGCCUUAGGGUCGUAAAGCUCUUUCGCCUGUGAAGAUAAUGACGGUAGCAGGUAAAGAAACCCCGGCUAACUCCGUGCCAGCAGCCGCGGUAAUACGGAGGGGGUUAGCGUUGUUCGGAAUUACUGGGCGUAAAGCGCACGUAGGCGGACCAGAAAGUUGGGGGUGAAAUCCCGGGGGCUCAACCCCGGAACUGCCUCCAAAACUAUUGGUCUAGAGUUCGAGAGAGGUGAGUGGAAUUCCAAGUGUAGAGGUGAAAUUCGUAGAUAUUUGGAGGAACACCAGUGGCGAAGGCGGCUCACUGGCUCGAUACUGACGCUGAGGUGCGAAAGUGUGGGGAGCAAACAGGAUUAGAUACCCUGGUAGUCCACACCGUAAAACGAUGAAUGCCAGUCGUCGGGUAGCAUGCUAUUCGGUGAC